rnacentral:tRNA from 1 species
GGAGAGGUGGCAGAGCGGCUGAAUGCGCUGGUCUCGAAAACCAGUUUCGCCUCCGGGCGAACGUGGGUUCGAAUCCCACCCUCUCCG